rnacentral:rRNA from 1 species
GUUAGGAAUAUUGGACAAUGGGCGCAAGCCUGAUCCAGCCAUGCCGCGUGAACGAUGAAGGCCUUCGGGUUGUAAAGUUCUUUAGCCGAUGAUUAUAAUGACUGUAGUCGGAAAAUAAGCCCCGGCUAACUUCGUGCCAGCAGCCGCGGUAAUACGAAGGGGGCGAGCGUUAUUCGGAAUCACUGGGCGUAAAGCGUGCGUAGGCGGUCUCGUAAGUUAGGAGUGAAAGCCCAGGGCUCAACCUAGGAAUUGCUCUUAAUACUGCAAGGCUAGAAUCUCGGAGAGGAUAGCGGAAUUUCAAGUGUAGCAGUGAAAUGCGUAGAUAUUGGAAGGAACACCAGUGGCGUAAGCGGCUAUCUGGACGAGUAUUGACGCUGAGGCACGAAAGCGUGGGGAUCAAACAGGAUUAGAAACCCGUGUAGUCC